rnacentral:lncRNA from 1 species
UGCAACUGAAAACUAAUUGACUUCAAAAAAUUGAAUAAAUAAGUUUCUCUUGAAUUUUCAGAAUAGUAAAUCAGAGUUGUUUUACAUCAAAAUAUAAAAUUCCUAAGAACAAGGCUUUCCGCCUUUCACUACCCAAAGACACAUCCUAGUUGGUCAUAACUUUGGACACUUGUGAGAAAUCUCAACAAGGCGCAUCAAAGGUCCACAUAUCUCGGAGCCUCCAACUGUAAGUCAUUAUUAUUAUCUGAUUUUCAAAUACGGAAAAGGGUCAACUCCCAAACAAACAAAUAUACAAGUUAUACAUUUAUUUAACAUGUAUUUAAAGGCAUGCAAAUAGUACAAAUAUUAAUAUAAAGUACACAAAAUGUCAACACCCAAAGCAACAAUGGACUCGACAAAUGCACAACACCCUAAAGGUUGACCUAUACGCGACACAAAUGAUCCGGAUAUCACCUCCCUUAUAGGGCAACAAAAGUUCUUCGUAGAUAUUUGUGGGCUUCAACCAAUUAUGAACACUCCACCAUGACUCCAACCAAUUAUGGACACCACAUACCCCACGGGUCCCAACCAAUUAUGGGCACCAAAAGAAAGACAACGAGCCUCAACCAAUUAUGAGCACUCAAAAGGAAACAAUAAGCCCCAACCAAUUAUGGGCACUCAAGACUUCGGGUCCCAACCAAUUAUGAGCACCACGCGACAAUGAAUGUAUGCAUGCGACACCUGCUUAUUAACUCCACAAAAUAGACCACUCACAAUGAGUAUCCGACUAAAUUAAUCAUUGUCUUAACCACCUGCUAGAGACAUUGAUUACACCAACAGUAACGCUAACUAACAAAAUAUGCAAGACCUCAAUCCAGGCAUGAAACAACAAGUUAUACUCACAACCAAGCAAUACAAAAUCAAGUUCACAUAGUAUGUAAGCAUGGUAAAAUACUUAAACAUGUUAAAAACAUCAUCAUUUUAACAACAAGUAACUACAUAUAUAAAAUAGAAAAAAUGGAGCGCCAUUUCCCUUACCUUAGCAAUAUAGCAGCUAUUAAUAUUUCUACUCAUGGUCUUUGCUCCACGGAAUCUACACCUUCACAAAAAGUACUUACUAACUCAGUUUCCAACUCCUAUUACUAUUACUCCUAAAUCCUACUCAAGGCUCGGUUAAAAUAGAAUUCAAUAAAAAUAUUUAGAGAAUGGUUCAAGCAUAAAUAAGUGCUAAAUGAAAAUUGGAAUAAAGCUUAGGAAAAUAACACUGAUUUCUUUUCUUUUCAAGAGUUAAGAGUUCCAAUAGUCAUGUCACGAAUUCAUUUUUAUUCUAUAGGGGAGAGUAAUUAGCCUUGUUCUACUAGCAUCGUUUACAUAUAUAUAACUAUUAUAAAAAGAAAGAUUCUUACUUGAGUAUGAUAAUUUUCCUAAGAUUUGCU